rnacentral:rRNA from 1 species
GACGAACGCUGGCGGCGUGCCUAAUACAUGCAAGUCGAACGCUUUUUCUUUCACCGGAGCUUGCUCCACCGAAAGAAAAAGAGUGGCGAACGGGUGAGUAACACGUGGGUAACCUGCCCAUCAGAAGGGGAUAACACUUGGAAACAGGUGCUAAUACCGUAUAACACCAUUUUCCGCAUGGAAGAAAGUUGAAAGGCGCUUUUGCGUCACUGAUGGAUGGACCCGCGGUGUCAUUAGCUAGUUGGAGAGGUAACGGCUCACCAAGGCAACGAUGCAUAGCCGACCUGGGAGGGUGAUCGGCCACACUGGGACUGAGACACGGCCCAGACUCCUACGGGAGGCAGCAGUAGGGAAUCUUCGGCAAUGGACGAAAGUCUGACCGAGCAACGCCGCGUGAGUGAAAAAGGUUUUCGGAUCGUAAAACUCUGUUGUUAGAGAAGAACAAGGAUGAGAGUAAAAUGUUCAUCCCUUGACGGUAUCUAACCAGAAAGCCACGGCUAACUACGUGCCAGCAGCCGCCGUAA